rnacentral:rRNA from 1 species
UACGUAGGGUGCGAGCGUUAAUCGGAAUUACUGGGCGUAAAGCGUGCGCAGGCGGUUCGUUGUGUCGGUGGUGAAAGCCCCGGGCUUAACCUGGGAAUGGCCAUGGAAACUGGCGAACUGGAGUGUGGCAGAGGGGGGUGGAAUUCCGCGUGUAGCAGUGAAAUGCGUAGAGAUCAGGAGGAACACCCGUGGCGAAGGCGGCCCUCUGGCUCGACCCUGACGCUGAGGCGCGAAAGCGUGGGGAGCGAACGGG